AAAAGAGAUUUCAGAAUCAGGCCGGGAUGUUGCGACAUCCCGUGUCCCCGGUCGUACAUCAAGCCGGUUGCCUGGUUCC
rfam:Raoultella planticola strain GCSL-DIFS-295 CFSAN029441_contig1588, whole genome shotgun sequence.